rnacentral:rRNA from 1 species
AACGAACGCUGGCGGCAUGCCUAACACAUGCAAGUCGAACGAGACCUUCGGGUCUUGUGGCGCACGGGUGCGUAACGCGUGGGAACCUGCCCUUAGGUUCGGCAUAACUCCCCGAAAGGGGUGCUAAUACCGGAUAAUGUCUUCGGACCAAAGAUUUAUCGCCUUUGGAUGGGCCCGCGUUGGAUUAGCUAGUUGGUAGGGUAAAAGCCUACCAAGGCGACGAUCCAUAGCUGGUCUGAGAGGAUGAUCAGCCACACUGGGACUGAGACACGGCCCAGACUCCUACGGGAGGCAGCAGUGGGGAAUAUUGGACAAUGGGCGGAAGCCUGAUCCAGCAAUGCCGCGUGAGUGAUGAAGGCCUUAGGGUUGUAAAGCGCUUUUACCCGGGAUGAUAAUGACAGUACCGGGAGAAUAAGCUCCGGCUAACUCCGUG